rnacentral:tRNA from 1 species
UGGCUCAGUUGGUAGAGCAUGGUGUUUGCGACGCCAGCAUGGUGUGUGCAACACCAGGGUUGUGGGUUCGAUUCCCAC